GACGAACGCUGGCGGCGUGCCUAAUACAUGCAAGUUGAGCGCUGAAGGUUGGUACUUGUACCAACUGGAUGAGCAGCGAACGGGUGAGUAACGCGUGGGGAAUCUGCCUUUGAGCGGGGGACAACAUUUGGAAACGAAUGCUAAUACCGCAUAAAAACUUUAAACACAAGUUUUAAGUUUGAAAGAUGCAAUUGCAUCACUCAAAGAUGAUCCCGCGUUGUAUUAGCUAGUUGGUGAGGUAAAGGCUCACCAAGGCGAUGAUACAUAGCCGACCUGAGAGGGUGAUCGGCCACAUUGGGACUGAGACACGGCCCAAACUCCUACGGGGGGCACCAGUAGGGAAUUUUCGGCAAUGGAGGAAAUUCUGACCGAGCAACGCCGGGGGAGGGAAGAAGGUUUUCGGAUCGUAAAACUCUGUUGGUAGGGAAAAACGUUGGUGAGAGUGGAAAGCCCAUCAAGUGACGGUAACUACCCAGAAAGGGACGGCUAACUACGU
rnacentral:rRNA from 1 species